GAUGAACGCUAGCGGCAGGCUUAACACAUGCAAGUCAAGGGGUAUAGGUUUUCGGACCUAGAGACCGGCGCACGGGUGCGUAACGCGUAUGCAAUCUACCUUUCACAGAGGGAUAGCCAGAGAAAUUUGGAUUAAUACCUCAUAGUAUUAUAGAAUGGCAUCAUUUUAUAAUUAAAGUCACAACGGUGAAAGAUGAGCAUGCGUCCCAUUAGCUAGUUGGUAUGGUAACGGCAUACCAAGGCAACGAUGGGUAGGGGUCCUGAGAGGGAGAUCCCCCACACUGGUACUGAGACACGGACCAGACUCCUACGGGAGGCAGCAGUGAGGAAUAUUGGUCAAUGGGCGCAAGCCUGAACCAGCCAUGCCGCGUGCAGGAUGACGGUCCUAUGGAUUGUAAACUGCUUUUGCACAGGAAGAAACAACGCUACGUGUAGCGUCUUGACGGUACUGUGAGAAUAAGGAUCGGCUAACUCCGUG
rnacentral:rRNA from 1 species